rnacentral:snRNA from 1 species
GUGCUUCCAGGGAACAUACACUAUAAUUGGAACGAUAUGGAGAAUAUUAGCAUGGCCCCUGCGCAAGAAUAAGGCUUUGGGACAAAGCCGUCUUCAUA